rnacentral:lncRNA from 11 species
GGGUAGGGAUGCCCUGGUGCCUCCAAGUGGCAAAUGGAGAUGGUUCCUGGAGCGGGGAAGUCUGCAGAGGGUUGCGUCCACCUCUGGGUGUGUGACAAUGGAACACAAGAGAUAUGUCAAGAGCAACUUCUGGAGUGAGAGAAUUUGCCGUCUGCAAGGAUGUUUCCCAGGGAACGCCCGGAUGUUUUGAUGUUUUCACCAUCCUUGUGGGAGGCUUCUCUCUGAUAGAGGGAGCUCAUCCGCAAUCUCCCUGGGUGGGAUUGGAACCUGGCAGCUUUCAGGUCAGCAACCCAACCUUCAAGUCACUUAGUCCACUACGCCAUCUGGGGGCUCCUGAAUGAAUAAAUGAAUGAAUAAAUACAAUUUCCUAAGAAUGCAUUGUGAAAGAAGAGACCAGUAAAACAGCUUGAGGAACUAACAUAGAGCAGGAGAUUGCAGCCGGAGGUCUCAGAUUUCAUGGAGUACAUUUGGAGGAACAGGGAUGGAGGGUUGGGGAGAACAAGCAUCUGUGCAAGUCUGGAUAUAUGUAUAUAACUGGCUGACUUACCUCCAACAGGCCUUGGCCAGAAGCCAAGCCUGCCUUCAUCU